GCCACUGGUUGCCUGUGGAAAGGUGGGUUCAGUGUUGACAAUUGUUCUGAGGUAUCAAAAGAAUCUCCAAUCCUUGAUUUUCAUGAGCAAUCUGCUUUCAAAAGGAUUGGCAUUGAAUGCACAGUUUUAAAGUCGUCCGAGGGCUUUCCCCUCUUUCUCAUUAAUAGGCCUCAUGAUGGCCGUGGACUCCCAAUUGUGGCCCUCCUUUUAAGACCCUUGGAGUAGCAGAGGGUGCUUAAUUCUACCCCUUCAUUCUACUUAUGCGGAAGAUGGACCCCGGGUUCAUCUUAAGUCACACACAACGGUGUCUGUGGCAGAGCUAGGAGAGGACUGGUUCUGAGUUCUGCCUCUCUUUCUUUCUCAACACAGAUUCCAGACCGGUGUCAGUUUCCAGAACUGAAGAGCUAUAUGUGCUGAGUGAGGACAUAUUAAGUUUCCUGCUUUCCAUGGAGAAAAGCAAAUGCUACCCUAGCCCUUAAUUAAGGAUGUUAUCAUUGGUGACAGUGAUGUACCUUGAGCAGGGAAUACUGAAAAGAUGAUGAAGAUCAGAGCCAGGACUUGUAAUCCAGCAGCCUGAGUCCGGAACCUGCAGUCACCUACUAUGCUCACUAUUUCCCUACAUUCCCUACAUGAAGAUUUACCAGGCACUGUGCAAAGUCCUUUAUUGGAGAUUGAGAAAGGGCGUCAUCAUCUCCAUCUGAUGAAAAAAAGGAGACACAG
rnacentral:lncRNA from 1 species